CCUGAACUCAGCAGUGACAUAGACAGCAGCAAUUUCGAUGACAUUGAAGAUGACAAAGGAGAUGUAGAAACCUUCCCAAUUCCUAAAGCUUUUGUUGGAAAUCAGCUGCCUUUCAUAGGAUUUACCUACUAUAGAGAAAAUUUGCUAUUAAGUGACUCUCCAUCUUGUAGAGAAAAUGAUUCAAUACAAUCAAGGAAAAAUGAAGAAAGUCAAGAGGUAUGUUGAUGUUGUCAGAUAUAUUGAAAAACUGAGAAAAACUCAUCACUCUCGCAAAGUUUAAAUAUAGUCAUAUCCUACCUAGCAUUUGGAGUACUACAUCUACCCAAGAGAGAAGUUCCCAGCCUUUCUUCUACCAAGUAUCUCUUAUUAUUGUUCUGUGGAUCUGUUUAAAAUAUAUAUUAUGUAAUUUUGUUUUUAUUUAUCAAGGACAUAUAACUGGCAGCAAAAAUUUCUGAUUAGCAUAUAGUAACUGGUGUGCUCAAAUUAUUGUAAUGCAGUAGUAGCCAAAAGCAAUUAAACUUGACUAGUUCAUUAGCCUGUAUAUUUUUAUUAAGGGAAAAUAGAGUUUUGCUUAAGAUAGAUGCAGUAUUUAAAACCAUGGAGAACCUGAUCACUAGAAGGAAUAAUGGAAAGUACAUUGCCAUGGGAGUCUAAUAGACCUGCAUUGAUUUUUGCCACUGUCACUUAUUAGCUAUGCUGCCUUGGCCUGAUUAUUUACUGUUUUUGAAUUUCAUUUUCUUUAUCAAGUAGAUACAAUGCUACCAUCUUUGUAGGAUUUUUGUUAAUAUUAACAAGACAACAUUUGUAAAGUGCCUGAUAUUUUACCAAAGGCACCGCAGGAGCUCAAAAAGUUAAAUCCUUUAAAAAGUAAAUAAUGUUCCAAAAAUGGAUUA
rnacentral:sRNA from 1 species